GAUUCUUGUCAGGGAAAUAGACAGUUCUCAAGUGAGGUUUCUCUACUUUCAAGAAUACAUCACAGAAAUCUGGUUGAAUUUCUCGGUUACUGCCAGCAAGAAGGCAAAAGCAUUCUUGUAUAUGAGUUUAUGCAUAAUGGAGCACUGAAAGAGCAUCUUCAUGGGAAAAGAUAAUGAUCCCGUACCCAGAAAGGAGAAGAAAAGAGAAGCUAGGAGGGAGGAGAAAC